rnacentral:rRNA from 1 species
UACGUAGGGGGCUAGCGUUGUCCGGAAUCAUUGGGCGUAAAGCGCGCGUAGGCGGCCCGGUAAGUCCGCUGUAAAAGUCAAAGGCUCAACCUUUGAAUGUCAGUGGAUACUGCCGGGCUAGAGUCCGGAAGAGGCGAGUGGAACUCCUGGUGUAGCGGUCGAAUGCGCAGAUAUCGGGAGGAACACCAAUGGCGAAGGCAGCUCGCUGGGACGGUACUGACGCUGAGACGCGAAAGCGUGGGGAGCAAACAGG